ensembl:lncRNA
CACAAAUUGAGAUUUGACCAAUACUGAUAACAAAAAAGUCUCAAGGUAUAAACUCAUAGUGCUAUCAAACUUUUCAAGUAAAGGGUCAGUGGGUUUCUUGGUAGAUUUGCAUGAGGACAGUUUCUGAUGAAGAUGAAGAAAGAGUCAGGAGCCGAGGUGGGUUUGGCUGGACCUGGCAGUGGACUGGACGGAUAGGACACUCAUGUCGUGGAUGCUCAUCCCUGCAGCAGUGCCAGCAAACUGUAGCGUCAGUGUCAUUUGGUCCUGUCCUCAGCAAGCACAGCUUGCUGCUCAUCGUGCUGUUCACCAUCACAGGAAAGGACAUUUUCUCUGCUUGGUGCUGUCAGGUUGCACAUUGAAGCAACUAAUUGUAUGGAAUAGGCAUUGUGUAAGGUUAGAAGAAACCUGACUCUCUGAAAGGUUUCAGAGGGGAGGUUUUGGCACCAUAGAACCCAUGACUGGGAAAUGAUUGUAUUAGCUAGCUGUAUCUCCUCUAGAUACAAAUUGCAUCCAGCUGCCUGGCCAACAAAAGGGUGAAAAGAGGAGGAAUGCUGACCACACCUUUCCUCAAGCUGUUGAUUCCCUUUUCUUUUUUUCUUUUUCUUUUUUUUUUUCUUCUUUUUUAUUUUCUGCUGAGACAAGGCAGGAAACACAAUUUAAGUUGCCAGGGUGUUGAUACACACUGGCUGUGGUCUCCAGCUCAUUACUGUGGUCAGAGAAGUGCUUGCGGUGAGAUAUUUCACUCACUCCAGAGAAACUACAUACAUCAAAGGAUUGACCUUGAGAAGCUGCUUCUAAGGAGCUGGAGGAACAUGGGUAUGGUGUUGAUGGACUGAGUAUUGGAAAAGGACAAUUGCAAGGAGCAGCUUCAUCAACAUUUUACUCUGGGCAACAGAUCUGAUGGGAGCCAUGCAAUCUCUUUCCUUGUCAUGAGCUCACAUGCUGGGCAAGAGAGCCCAGCUCAGUGUGGUCCAGAUGCUGAAAGGAGAACAGGAGACUGUACUGGGGACAGUGACCCAACAGGUGCGUGCUCCUCUGGUCAAUCUGCCUGGUCUCUUCUCUGGAGAUACUGCUUCUGGCUCCAAGAGAGCCUCCAUCAAAGCCGUAAAGCAAAACAAAAAUCUGAAAACAAAGACUCUCAAGCAGAAUGACCAGGCUGAGCAACAAAGAUAUGCAUCUCAGCAACAGAUUGCAGGAUCUCCCAUUCAGUAUUUGGAGAAAGGUGCACAGGAAGCUGCACAAAAUGCUGUCAGAAGUUGUUGUCUCUGAUGAUUCAGCACCUAUCCUCCUGGCCUCAGUUAUGCUCCCUCCCAAACCAGCAUCUUAUACUUUUUCCCGCUGUGCCAAGAAAUGGCAUCCUCUGCAAUGAAGAAGGGGCUCAGAAGACACUGGAUGGCAAACUCUGCUCACUGGUGGGUUUUGCAGAAGCUCCCCUCUGCAGAGAUCAUAGUUUAAUGCCAGCCUUUGUGUUGCUGAUGAACUUGCUCAGUUUUUUUUUUUUUUUUUUUUUUUUUUGUUGCCCCAAAAGCUUGACACUCUUCUGUGCUGUAGAGUGGAAGAAGUGAACAUCAUCCCUAAGACUUCAUAGCUCAUCCCAAAGCCAGGCACAGUUGCAAACAUUUUGCUCAAGGACAUCCAAGAGUUGCUCUCUAACACUUCCAGGGUACUCCAUUCCUUGAGGAGAAGACACCUGUUUGCUCUUCAGCCACACAGGACUGAGCAAGGUUAAUGCUUCCUCCCACAGACUGGUUGAGAGGGACAGUAAGAAAUAUUGUAGGCAUCUUGGCUGGGCUUCUUCAAUGGUUUGUAAAGUAGCCACUUGGGUCUUGUUAGAGUACAG